AUUUUACUGUCUCUAGGCUUAUAACCAAUCACAUGUUCAAAUAAUAUUUGUUGAAUGAAUGAAAGUCUGGGGCUGUAAAGUAGUUUGUUCUUUAAAAAUGUCUGAACAUCUGUCUGUAUGGGCAGGUUUCCUAGUUUCAUCCCAGAUUUGGAUCCUCAAAUCUUGGUGAUUCCUCUUCUGGCCCCUGCCGAGGUCCAUCCCUCAUCUCCUCUGAAGUGCAUUCCAGAAACAGCCAGGUGGCUGGUCUCCCGGCCCCUCCUCCUGUUGCCCACAGAGGGUCCUCCAGAGAUGUACUUGAGACUGUGCCUGCUGAGUACCCUGGGGAGGCUCCCUGCAGCCUCAGACCAGCGUCCAGCCCCGCAUCUCACCCUGCCUGCCUUACCCUCUUGGUUGCACUGUCCUGUGCUUUUUUUCAGUUCCUGAAAUGGGCCCCAACACCUCAGGCAGUAACUUCCGUGAAUCAUAAUUUAUCAUGACAGUGGUAUUGGUCAAAACAACUGGAAGACAGGGAGGGCAGAGGGAGAAGAAACCACUCCCUACCCCAGUAAGUUUCCGACAGAACUACAGGCAGAGGAAGAACGUGAGGAGCCAAGCGAACGGAGCGGUGCUGGGAAAACCCUGCUGGCACAUUCUGUCCACUAACCCAGCCAGCAUUUGCAGGACACACAUCGAACCACGGAAGCACAGAGGGGAAGGGAGGCAGACAAGAAGGAAGGCUGGAUGCCACUCGGAGGAGCCCAUGAUUCAACAGGAACCCUGUGGGCAGCUGCUGAAGGAGUCUUAGUCCCCAAAGAGUUGGACCAGGUACUUGGUAGAUGUGAUUACAGUCCACGAUCGAUUGGCUGACUUUUACCUGAAAGAAAUGAUCCUAGAUGAUCUGGGUGGACCUGAAUCAAUCCGUUGAAAGGCAGAACUGAAGCUUUCUUCCUAAGAAAAGAAGUCAUUUCUUCCUGUGGACAGCAGCUUUACCCCGUGCCUGAGAGUUCCAGCUUGUCCUACAGAGUUUGGACCUGCCAAGCCAGCCCCCACAAUCACAUAAGCCAGCUUCUUGCCAUAAAUCUCUUUAUAUAUUAUAUAUUCUCUUCUCCUGGUUCUGCUUUUCUGGUUGACCCCUGACGAUACAACAGCUGUGAUGGAACCAAGCCCAGCCCCUUGUCUGUCCCACCUCAGGUGAGGGUGCUUCUUUCCCUGCCCCCUUUUUUCAGGAGGCUUGUGGAGUUGCAAGAGCAAAGAAGAGUCUGUUUAGGGAAGGGCAUUAUGUACCUAGCCAUCCUCUGUGCACACAGAGACAAGCACCCAUAACUGUAGGACUGGAUUCUUGCCUCUCAGAGACACCCAAACCCACCCAGCCCCAUGUGCCUCACUUUAUAAGAUACCACUUAUGGUAUCCCUCUCUUUUGCCCAACCCUUGGGAAAUUCCCUUUGGGUUCGACACAUCACAGGAGAAUGACCAUGCCGGUGUCUUUCUUUCCCUCUUAGUUCUGUCUCCCUGUUCCCCAGUAAGGGUUUGAAAUAUAUGCACAGUGUUUUUAAUGAAGAGCCCGCUCUUUCUGCAUACGCCUCCAUUAACCAAAGUCAAUCUCAGGAGUCCUGGGGGUGAGAUCAAUUCUGCUCCAGAUAGCCGUGCCAACUUCCACUGCUUCCAAUAGUAUUUCAAACCUAUCAGGAGCCCUUGGCAAGCCAAACAUUUCCACAUGGUUUACACACAUUAAUUAAUAGCCUCAUGCCACCAUAGCGAGACAGGCGAGGGCAACUGGAGUGCACAGGUAGAGUUUAUGGGAGGGGGACAGGUUCCCCGCGAGCAGGGGAGGGGGGACCUUCCAGAGCAGAUGCUUUCCUCCCAUCCACAAUGGGUGGUUGUCUUUUUCUUGGAUGGAAUCUGGACUGCUCAGUGGGAGAGCCUCCAUGAAGCAUGAGCAACACAAGCUCUGUGAUCCCAUCUCUGCAGUGUCUUCAUGACUGUCGGGGGGCCAAACCUCCUUAUUGAGUAUGCUUGGGGCAGCCCGCUUGGUCUGAUAUUGGCUCCCAAGGACGAAGUCAGGCAAACUGAACAAGGAUGCUGCCUGCAAGGCUGCAGAGUGUGUAGGAUCGGGGAGGGGGGAGAAGGAGGGGAGGCCGGAGGGAGAGAAGAGGCUGAAAGCUGGCAGUAACCGCACACUAGUUCUGUGCCAGGAAAUGCAUGAGAGUCCUCCUCGGUCCUCAUCCUCACGGCAACCUGGCGAGGUAAUUAUCGCUGCUUUCUUCUUACAAAAGGUGAAACUGAGGUUCUGCCUGGCUUUAAAGUCUUUGCUGUUUCCUGUAUAUAUGACUUCUCUCACAUGGAAGGAAGAAUUCAACUGCCAAGCUUGAAAGAGGCAGUGAUGCUCAGUGGAGGGUACCUGGGUUCUAGCCCCAACCUUGUGACGGGUAAUUCACUGAAUGUCUGAGUGUCUCAGUGUAGUUAAUGGGUAAAUGGACAGACAGUUGUUUUGUGCAGGGGCAAAAGCGUGGCAUUUCAAAUCAGACUGCCUUGUAUUCUAGAAUCUACUAUCUCCCAGCUUUUAUUUAAAAUAAAAAAUCUAUAAUACCUAUCUAAUAGGGUUAUUGAUGAAAUGAGAUAUUGUAUAUAAAGUGCUUAGUGCAGGGCUGGCCACACUGUUAAAUGCAAAAUAAAUGUUAACUAUUAUUAAUUCCACAUAGAGACUCUAUGGAGAUCAUUUUUUUUUAGCUCAUUUUUAAUGAGCUCCUGCUUUUUGCACAGCAUUACUCUUGGUACUAUAAUAGGUGUGCAAACACACUGAAAGGUUGUAGAGCAUACUAUUAUUUUCAUAUGCAAGGAAAUAGUUUAAAAAGCUGGUUGCACAAGUAGAUAACUUUGUUGAAGAGAUAGUUCAAUCAAUGAGGUGGUCAGAUUUAAGGAUUAAUACAGAAAGGUUUCACGGAAGAUUAAAAGUCUGGGCAGGGUUUGGAAAGAGGAAAGGGCUAUGCUUUGGAGAAAGAAGUGUUCAUUUCUGGAGAGUAGAUGAAGUCUCACAGAAGGGGGAGGAAGUUGUGGGUUUGUGUGCAUGCACGUGUGUGUUUGUCUGCACCUGAGUAUGUGUCUGUGUGUGUGUAUGCUUGUGUGCACAUCUAGGUAUAUGUGUCUGUGUGUGUGCAUGUGUGUGUCUAUGUGUGCAUCUGGAGAUGUGUGUCUAUUUGUGUGUGUGUGUGCAUGUGCCUAUGUACAUGUGUGUGCACGUGUGCGUGUGUGUUUGGGGGGCACGGGGAGGGAUGUUGGGUGGUUGCCUGGACGGAGCUUGUUCUGGUGGGACGUGACCGCUGCCCAGGCUGGAGUCAGGGUCAUGAGGUCCAUGUGUGGGAGUCUCACUCUGGUAGCAAGACUUAGGCUGUAGGGUUCUUGGCUUGUUUCCUAGAGUUCCAGAAUUGUGCACUAGAAGACAUCUGGUUCAGCCUCCAGUCUAUCAGGCUAGUAAUAUCUCCCAGUUUUUACAAGGAAGAGACUAGUAAGGUGCCAAGAGUUGUAUGGACCUGUAUCACUGAGCCUACCCUCUUGGGUGCUCCCCUCUGUCCUGCCACCUUCUGUUAGCAGAGGUAACAAUUGGCCUGGGAGAGAGAGGAUGGGAGGGUGUCAGGGAGCAAGGAAGGGACAUGUAGUACCUUGCCAUCCUCACAACAAAAUAAGGACCAAAGAAAGCUUGGUGAGCAAGCCAUGAAGUUAGUAGAAAAAACCGUGGUGCCAUUUUCUGACUGGAGGAGGACUCUUCACUCUGCUUUCCCCCUAGCCCACGCCCCAGUCCCCUUGAACCCUGUAUCUGAUGUCCAAUAUUCUCUGACGUGUCUUAUACUUAAAACCCCCGUUGCUAUAGUACAGUUCCUAAUACUCGGCAUCCUUGAGUCCCCCAGCCUGGUACCCUGUCCUUGAGUUGUCUGUACCGUGGUGCUUCUCAAACUUCCCCUCUACUAGCAGCAAAUAAUCCAUCUGCACGCAUUAACCCUUCCCUCCACCCCCUCCUGCCCUGACUCUGUUCUAACCCUGCACCCAUGCAGUCUAUUCUACCAGCACGCUGUGCACUGGUAUUCAAGGUCCUCAUGUAAAUCACAUUUAAAGAAAAAAACAGCACUGAACACUUCAUGUGUUGAGACACCCGCCCCCCGCCCCCACGCACAGGUGCUUUCUGCACUGACCAAUGCCUCUCCCUCUCUGCUGGUCAGUCACAGUCCCAAAAGUAUUUACUGCAGGAGCGUAGGGGCAAGAUAUCCUGAAGGGCGUGGUGUUAAUAUUGAGUGUACAGAGCUAGCCUGUCGUUUUUACUUAACUCCAGUACUAAAGAUCAAUAAAAAUAGCAAAGUUUUCCAAAAAUCCUUUUAUUCGUCCUUUGCAUAAGAUUGAGGAAAUGCCUAGUCACCACAUCUAAGAAUAGUAUUUUUAGCAUUUCAGUGUUAUUAACGUGAUAAUUCCUGGGGAUAGCUGGGGGUGGUGCUGGAGAUGAUAGGAACGUUAAACCCUGCUCACCCCCAGCCAACUUCUGUUGCCACCACUGGUUUGGGAUCCAAUGGUGUCUUCUAUUCUAUAUUUGCACAACUUGGUAUGGUCGUCGCUAGCCACAUGUGGCCUCUGAGCACUUGAAAUAUGGCUAGUCCAAACUGAGAUGUGCCAUGAAUGUAAAAUACACACCAAAUUUCGAAGACUUAGUACGAAAAAAAGAAUGUAAAAUAUCAUUAAUCAUUUUUAAUGUUGAUUACAUGCCAAAAUGACACUAGUUUGUAUA